rnacentral:rRNA from 1 species
UGAACGCUGGCGGCGUGCCUCAUACAUGCAAGUCGAGCGAACAGACGAGGAGCUUGCUCCUCUGACGUUAGCGGCGGACGGGUGAGUAACACGUGGAUAACCUACCUAUAAGACUGGGAUAACUUCGGGAAACCGGAGCUAAUACCGGAUAAUAUAUUGAACCGCAUGGUUCAAUAGUGAAAGACGGUUUUGCUGUCACUUAUAGAUGGAUCCGCGCCGCAUUAGCUAGUUGGUAAGGUAACGGCUUACCAAGGCAACGAUGCGUAGCCGACCUGAGAGGGUGAUCGGCCACACUGGAACUGAGACACGGUCCAGACUCCUACGGGAGGCAGCAGUAGGGAAUCUUCCGCAAUGGGCGAAAGCCUGACGGAGCAACGCCGCGUGAGUGAUGAAGGUCUUCGGAUCGUAAAACUCUGUUAUUAGGGAAGAACAAAUGUGUAAGUAACUAGGCACGUCUUGACGGUACCUAAUCAGAAAGCCACGGCUAACUACG